GAUGAACGCUAGCUACAGGCUUAACACAUGCAAGUCGAGGGGCAGCGGGAUUGAAGCUUGCUUCAAUUGCCGGCGACCGGCGCACGGGUGAGUAACGCGUAUCCAACCUUCCGUACACUCAGGGAUAGCCUUUCGAAAGAAAGAUUAAUACCUGAUGGUAUGAUGAGAUCGCAUGGUUUUACUAUUAAAGAAUUUCGGUUAUCGAUGGGGAUGCGUUCCAUUAGUUUGUUGGCGGGGUAACGGCCCACCAAGACUACGAUGGAUAGGGGUUCUGAGAGGAAGGUCCCCCACAUUGGAACUGAGACACGGUCCAAACUCCUACGGGAGGCAGCAGUGAGGAAUAUUGGUCAAUGGGCGAGAGCCUGAACCAGCCAAGUAGCGUGAGGGAUGAAGGCUCUAUGGGUCGUAAACCUCUUUUAUAUGGGAAUAAAGUUUUCCACGUGUGGAAUUUUGUAUGUACCAUAUGAAUAAGGAUCGGCUAACUCCGUG
rnacentral:rRNA from 1 species